GUGCCUCCCGCGCGUCAGCACACAGAAUCCCACAGCUGCCCCACUGCACUCUUGCCUUGGAGGUUUCUCCAUUUGCCCUUCUUGUCCUCUAAAAGGGCUUGCUUUCCCAUCACCUGACACCCUGAGAUGUUUUCCUUCCUUAUCUAGCUUGCUAGGUCCCGCCUUGUUUAAAUUUGUGUUUCUUUAAUUAUAAGAUGGCACAUCUUCCCACGUGUCUAUUCACCACCUGAAUUUCCUCACACAAUUUUCCGCACACAAAAUUGUUUACUUAGUGUACUAUGAGUUGAACAGGCAAUAAGUCUGGGGAAAGUGAACGUGUGAAAAAGGAUCUAUCAAGGAAAGUUCCAGGAGAGAAGAGGAGGAAAGAGCUCGACAGGCAGGUUGAUCAGCAUGAGAGUACAGUGUGAAGGCCAAACCGGCAGAAGUGAAGGAUUAUUUAGAAGUAAGACUGGAGAAGUAAGCAGGAAGGAGGUGGUCCAUAAAAAAGCAUGAAUCCUGGAAGAAUAGGAAAGGCAUUCUACGCAGGCAAGGUAUGGUGUGCACAAGGAAUGAACUUAACAUGUCCAGAGAAAUACAAGCAGACAGGCAUUCUGGGGUAACAAAGACAAGUGUGGGGAAAGAGAAAAAAACUGCCAAAGAUCUUGAACGCUGGACAGGAGAUUAUUUGUGAAAUGCUGGGUCAAUGUUUGCCUUGCAUGUUUCAAACAGACACACCUGUGAGCUGGGUGAGGCAUUUCAAGGAAAAACGUCACGUUUGUUGAUGAGAUGGGGUCCCUGCUACUAACAACAAUGUAUAAAGGUGGAGCUAAACCAUCAUUUCUCCUCUUUCCUUCCUUCUCUUUGAUAUCAAAGCUAUCAGGCCAAAGCAAUGCCAUCACGAAAGUGCUAUCCAAAAUUAUGUCAUUGGGGAGUGCUAUCCUCAAAGGAACACUGAACUUAAAGAGGAUUUGAGUUCAAGUUGCAUCUCACCUACCUACUAACUUUUGUCCACAACAAUUUAACCCUCGAACACCUCAAAGUCGUUGUCUGAAAAUAGGAAUGAUAAGACCUACUUCUCAGGAUUGUGGGAAAAAUGAAAUAAGAUGAGAUCAUGUGAAAGAGCUUUUAAAUGUAGAAACACUAAAUAUUGUUUUCUAUUGUGUUUCUAUGUUCUAUGGCUUAUUGGACUAGAGUACACAUUGGAGUCUGAGGUAGUAAGGAAAAACCAGGAAGGUAUAAUUUCCAUGACCCAAACAGUAGGGUGCUCUGGGAGUGGAUGACAGAGAAAGACAAAGGUGAAUGUGUGCUGAGGGCAACAGGAGCUCAUGGAAUAGGACAAACAAGGAGCCUACCCAAAGGAUAUGGCUUUGUGAGAACAGGACAAAAAUAAGAAGAUAGGAACAGGAAUGCUUGGAAAAGAACUGAGGAAUAUAGGGCCACUAUUUGUAGCUCAUUCAUUCAACAAUAUUUUCUGAACAUCUACUUUGUUCUAAGCACUAAGCACUGUGCUAGAAGCUCAUUUAGUAUUGACAUGUGGGUCAGAAUGCCAACCCUGCUCAAUCCCUUCCUAUAGAACCUGUGCCUGCUCACAGCCAUUAUGACCUCACCACCAUCACCACCCUACCACCCCCAGUUCUGCCAGACCUGACUGAAUCGAGGGAUAGCAUGAGACCCAAGCUGGACCAAUCAUAGUCUCUUCCUAGAUAACUAAAAUAAGACUCCCUGGAACUAAGUAAGAUGUGGUGAGAGCCCACGCAACCACACUGGACCAACGGUGGAAGCUAGAUGUGGAGAAUGACAAAGCUGCCUUAUGCCACCAAUCUUUGAGCCACUAUGUAAAAGAAAUAAACUUCCGUCCUUUUUUAAAACCA